rnacentral:lncRNA from 1 species
GUUGGCUCCUAAUAUUUAGAAAAAUGAAGUAGGACUCUUCAAAGCUCCUUUUUAAAAUUAACUUGUUUCCUUCAACUUCAGUAUAUUAUUGAACAUUUGAAUACAUCUUUAUGAGAAAAUAGUGUGCACCCAGCUAGCAGCUGCUGAGAAAUUCAAAUUUCAAGGUGAAGCUGUCUCAAACAUUCAAGAAAACACACAGACUCCAACUGUACAAGAGGAGAGUGAAGAGGAAGAGGUUGAUGAAACAGGUGUAGAAGUUAAGGACAUAAGGCCUGGC